CCGGCGGUGGUCAAGUGGUCAUCAUAGCGGGCUUUUGACUCCUCUGUUCCGGAUUCGAAUUCUGCAUCCGCCGCCGGU
rnacentral:tRNA from 1 species